rnacentral:lncRNA from 1 species
UCUCUCCUGUUUCUGCAUUUAGAAAUUCACAAUAUGAUAUUAGUAUACUUGUCUGGAAGGUAAAAGCCAAUGUAGCCUCUAGGGUCUAUAUAUGGAAUACUGAAACUGCAAAUGGAUUAAAUAAAAUAUUAAAGAAAGAGAAAAUUGGAGCUGGAACUGUCAAGCACGCAUGUGACUAACCAUUGAAAAUGUCCCUUUCUGGGGGCCUUUUUCAUUGGAUGUUCAUAUACAUAAUUGAGGGGGUAAAAAUUAGAACAUCAUUGUGGUUGGAUGCUGAGAAUCUUUGGCAUUUUCCUUUGGUUGCUGAUUUGGGCCGUAACUGCCUUUCACUACACAGUGGAAAACUUGAGUAAAACACUGUUAAUUCUUAGUCUUCACCACUAUUCACUGCCUUUGCUUUAUAACUGAAACAGUGGGUAUGAAUCAAGUCAAUUGGCUUUGGCUUUAUCUAUUGAUUUUCAUUUGUUGGUUUUGGGUACUUUUGUAG